GAGAGGUGUAGGUUUCUGCUCUGAUGGAGGAACAUCCUGAGACACGGGGACCCAGGAACUACGUGUGUGUGUGUGAGUGCAGGUCCUCACAGAGGCCAGAGGCGUCAGGAUCCAGGGUCUGCACUUAGAGACUUUGAGCUGCCUGACCUGUGGAUGUAGCUGAGGUGGGAAGCACUUCCAGCACCGCCACAAAACAAGGAUCCCUGAGGGGAAAACACUAGUCUUCUGUUGUUGUUUUUGUUUGCUGCCUGUUUGCUUUCGUGUCUUGUUGGUGAGCUCAUCUUCUCUGCUCACUUACGUUGUCCCUGCCGCUGUCACUGCUGCUGCCCUUUGCUGUCAUGAGCACCCAGUGUCUUCAGCCUUCCAACCUGAACUGAAGACCAGCGACUCUCCCAAGAAUCCUCUGGAACUUCAGCACCACAUUAGGACUACCGAGGACCCCAGCUGGGUAGAUGGAAUAGCUACCAGUUCUGUUCUUCCAGUGUUAAGACAGCCAUUGUUGGAUUACCUAAACCAUAUCCUAUACGUCAAUCUAAUAAAUCCUUUUUCCUAUUUUCAUCCUAUUGGUGCUCUUCUAUACAGACUCAAUAAAUGAACAUAUCCGAUGCCUU
rnacentral:lncRNA from 1 species